GCCAGGUGCAGUGGCGUGCGCCUGUAAUCCCAGCUACUCAGGAGGCUGAGGCAGGAGAAUUGCUUGAACCUGGGAGGUGGAGGUUGCAGUGAGCUGAGAUCAUUCCACUGCACUCCAGCCUGAGUGACAGAGUGAGACUCUGUCUCAA
ensembl:misc_RNA Metazoa_SRP Metazoan signal recognition particle RNA